AGCGAACGCUGGCGGCAGGCUUAACACAUGCAAGUCGAACGCCCCGCAAGGGGAGUGGCAGACGGGUGAGUAACACGUGGGAACGUACCCUUUGGUUCGGAAUAACUUGGGGAAACUCAAGCUAAUACCGGAUAAGCCCUUAUGGGGAAAGGUUUACUGCCGAAGGGUCGGCCCGCGUCUGAUUAGCUAGUUGGUGAGGUAAUGGCUCGCCAAGGCGACGAUCAGUAGCUGGUCUGAGAGGAUGAUCAGCCACACUGGGACUGAGACACGGCCCAGACUCCUACGGGAGGCAGCAGUGGGGAAUAUUGGACAAUGGGGGCAACCCUGAUCCAGCCAUGCCGCGUGAGUGAUGAAGGCCUUAGGGUUGUAAAGCUCUUUUACCCGGGACGAUAAUGACUGUACCGGGAGAAUAAGCCCCGGCUAACUUCGUGCCAGCCGCCGCUGUAA
rnacentral:rRNA from 1 species